rnacentral:rRNA from 1 species
UACGGAGGGGGCUAGCGUUGUUCGGAAUUACUGGGCGUAAAGGGCGCGUAGGCGGUCGUGACAAGUCACUUGUGAAAUCUCCGGGCUUAACUCGGAACGGUCAAGUGAUACUGUCGGACUAGAGUACGGAAGGGGCAACUGGAAUUCUCGGUGUAGCGGUGAAAUGCGUAGAUAUCGAGAGGAACACCUGCGGCGAAGGCGGGUUGCUGGGCUGAUACUGACGCUGAGGCGCGAAAGCCAGGGGAGCGAACGGG